rfam:Myotis lucifugus cont2.7169, whole genome shotgun sequence.
GAGACACCCUUAUGGGGCAGGACUUGCUUCAGUGGGGCUUUGGUGCUCACUGAGUCUGCCCCUUGAGUGUGUUGUU